GGAGGAUUGACCGAGUGGCUAAGGAGCUUGAUUGGAAAUCAAGUAAGGCGGCAACGCCCCGUGGGUUCGAGUCCCAUGUCCUCCG
rnacentral:tRNA from 1 species